rnacentral:rRNA from 1 species
AGAGUUUGAUCAUGGCUCAGGAUGAACGCCGGCGGUGUGCCUAAUACAUGCAAGUCGAACGCGUUGGCCCAACUGAUUGAACGUGCUUGCACGGACUUGACGUUGGUUUACCAGCGAGUGGCGGACGGGUGAGUAACACGUAGGUAACCUGCCCCAAAGCGGGGGAUAACAUUUGGAAACAGAUGCUAAUACCGCAUAACAAUUUGAAUCGCAUGAUUCAAAUUUGAAAGAUGGCUUCGGCUAUCGCUUUGGGAUGGACCUGCGGCGCAUUAGCUUGUUGGUAGGGUAACGGCCUACCAAGGCUGUGAUGCGUAGCCGAGUUGAGAGACUGAUCGGCCACAAUGGAACUGAGGCACGGUCCAUACUCCUACGGGAGGCAGCAGUAGGGAAUCUUCCACAAUGGGCGCAAGCCUGAUGGAGCAACACCGCGUGAGUGAAGAAGGGUUUCGGCUCGUAAAGCUCUGUUGUUAGAGAAGAACGUGCGUGAGAGCAACUGUUCACGCAGUGACGGUAUCUAACCAGAAAGUCACGGCUAACUACGUGCCAGCAGCCGCGGUAAUACGUAGGUGGCAAGCGUUAUCCGGAUUUAUUGGGCGUAAAGCGAGCGCAGGCGGUUUGAUAAGUCUGAUGUGAAAGCCUUUGGCUUAACCAAAGAAGUGCAUCGGAAACUGUCAGACUUGAGUGCAGAAGAGGACAGUGGAACUCCAUGUGUAGCGGUGGAAUGCGUAGAUAUAUGGAAGAACACCAGUGGCGAAGGCGGCUGUCUGGUCUGCAACUGACGCUGAGGCUCGAAAGCAUGGGUAGCGAACAGGAUUAGAUACCCUGGUAGUCCAUGCCGUAAACGAUGAGUGCUAGGUGUUGGAGGGUUUCCGCCCUUCAGUGCCGCAGCU